rnacentral:misc_RNA from 1 species
GAUGAAGAACUUAGCGAAAUGCGAUAAGUAGUGUGAAUUGCAGAAUUCAGUGAAUCAUCGAAUCUUUGAACGCACAUUGCGCCCCUUGGUAUUCCAUGGGGCAUGCCUGUUCGAGCGUCAUCUGCACCCUCAAGCACUGCUUGGUGAUGGGCGUCUGUCCCGCCUCUGCGCGCGGACUCGCCCCAAAGGUAUUGGCAGCGGUCCUGUCCGCCUCUCGCGCAGCACAGAUGCGCUUCUCGAGGCUUCGGGGCCCGCGUCCAUGAAGCUCUUUUACCACGUUUGACCUCGGAUCAGGUAGGGAUACCCGCUGAACUUAAGCAUAUCAAUAAGCGGAGGA